ensembl:lncRNA
GUGUAUUAUAGUUGUAUAUAAUAUUGGUAUAUAUUUGCUGGUUAGUGGUAUAUAGGUGUUAGUUGGUGGUAUAUAGGUGUUAGUUGGUGUAUUAUAGUUGUAUAUAAUAUUGGUAUAUAUUCGCUGGUUGGUGGUAUAUAAUAGUGGUUUAUUGGUGUUAGUUGGUGGUAUAUAAUAGCGGUAUUUAGGUUUUAGUUGGUGGUAUAUAAUAGUGGUAUAUAGGUGUUAGUUGGUGGUGUAUAAUAGUGGUUUAUUGGUGUUAGUUGGUGGUAUAUAAUAGUGGUAUAUAGGUGUUAGUUGGUGGUGUAUUAUAGUUGUAUAUAAUAUUGGUAUAUAUUUGCUGGUUAGUGGUAUAUAGGUGUUAGUUGGUGGUAUAUAGGUGUUAGUUGGUGUAUUAUAGUUGUAUAUAAUAUUGGUAUAUAUUUGCUGGUUAGUGGUAUAUAGGUGUUAGUUGGUGGUAUAUAGGUGUUAGUUGGUGUAUUAUAGUUGUAUAUAAUAUUGGUAUAUAUUCGCUGGUUGGUGGUAUAUAAUAGUGGUUUAUUGGUGUUAGUUGGUGGUAUAUAAUAGCGGUAUUUAGGUUUUAGUUGGUGGUAUAUAAUAGUGGUAUAUAGGUGUUAGUUGGUGGUGUAUAAUAGUGGUUUAUUGGUGUUAGUUGGUGGUAUAUAAUAGCGGUAUUUAGGUGUUAGUUGGUGGUAUAUAAUAGUGGUUUAUUGGUGUUAGUUGGUGGUGUAUAAUAGUGGUUUAUUGGUGUUAGUUGGUGGUAUAUAACAGUGGUAUAUAG